GCCCACGCGUCCCGGGCUUCAGGGGAGCACCUGGGAAGCGCUGGGGGUCGCGUGCCCUUGGCCGGAGGCCUGGUCACCCGCAGGCCCUGCCAUCCUCGGCUUGGCCGCUGCUGCCCGCGCGCCUGUGGCGGAGCGAGCCUGCCUCCAGGGCAGCCUCACCGCCUGGAUCCUGGGCAGGAGACCUCCCAGGUCCCUUCCUCUCUCCAGCUGUCUGGAAUGGAGCCGCCAUGUCUGGUGCUCAAGCGGCCAGCUCUGACCCAGAGGUUAACCAGUGUUGGUUCCUGUUGUUUACAACCAAGAAUCCUGAGAAGUUCAUAUGUAGCCCACACAUAAGCUGAAGUAUUGCCUUAUGACAUAUUCUGAAUAUUCCAAUUAUUUUGCAAAUAAUUCCACUAAGAGAUUAAUACAUUCUAGAGCAUGUAGCUGUGGUUCAUUCAUUUUCA
rnacentral:lncRNA from 10 species